GCCAUUCGCGGAAUCUCUGAGAACNGUGCUGCNAAGGUCUGUCGUCAGACUCGUGUUGUGAAAUGUUGGGUUAAGUCCCNCAACGAGCGUNAACCUUUUUCGUUUGUUGCCAGCGGUCCGGCCGGGAACUCGAAAGGAGUACUGCCACGAUGAUAAACUGGAGGUAAGUGUCGCGCGAGAUGUACGUCCAGUCAUCAUCGGCGCCUUACGACGUAGGGCUACACAGCGUGCUACAGAUGGCGCCAUAACAGAGAGAAG
rnacentral:rRNA from 1 species